rnacentral:rRNA from 1 species
UACGGAGGGUGCAAGCGUUUAUCCGGAUUUACUGGGUUUAAAGGGUGCGUAGGUGGGCAGGAAAGUCAGUGGUGAAAUCUCCGGGCUUAACCCGGAAACUGCCAUUGAUACUAUUUGUCUUGAAUACUUUGGAGGUAAGCGGAAUAUGUCAUGUAGCGGUGAAAUGCUUAGAUAUGACAUAGAACACCAAUUGCGCAGGCAGCUUACUACACAGUAAUUGACACUGAGGCACGAAAAGCGUGGGGAUCAAACAGG